CUCCUAAGGCUAAAUACUCUCUAGUGACCGAUAGUGAACCAGUACCGUGAGGGAAAGGUGAAAAGCACCCCGGAAGGGGAGUGAAAUAGAACCUGAAACCGUGUGCUUACAAGUAGUCAGAGCCCGUUAAUGGGUGAUGGCGUGCCUUUUGUAGAAUGAACCGGCGAGUUACGAUUUGAUGCAAGGUUAAGCAGUAAAUGUGGAGCCGUAGCGAAAGCGAGUCUGAAUAGGGCGUUUAGUAUUUGGUCGUAGACCCGAAACCAGGUGAUCUACCCUUGGUCAGGUUGAAGUUCAGGUAACACUGAAUGGAGGACCGAACCGACUUACGUUGAAAAGUGAGCGGAUGAACUGAGGGUAGCGGAGAAAUUCCAAUCGAACCUGGAGAUAGCUGGUUCUCUCCGAAAUAGCUUUAGGGCUAGCCUCAAGUGAUGAUUAUUGGAGGUAGAGCACUGUUUGGACGAGGGGCCCCUCUCGGGUUACCGAAUUCAGACAAACUCCGAAUGCCAAUUAAUUUAACUUGGGAGUCAGAACAUGGGUGAUAAGGUCCGUGUUCGAAAGGGAAACAGCCCAGACCACCAGCUAAGGUCCCAAAAUAUAUGUUAAGUGGAAAAGGAUGUGGCGUUGCCCAGACAACUAGGAUGUUGGCUUAGAAGCAGCCAUCAUUUAAAGAGUGCGUAAUAGCUCACUAGUCGAGUGACACUGCGCCGAAAAUGUACCGGGGCUAAACAUAUUACCGAAGCUGUGGAUUGUCCUUUGGACAAUGGUAGGAGAGCGUUCUAAGGGCGUUGAAGCAUGAUCGUAAGGACAUGUGGAGCGCUUAGAAGUGAGAAUGCCGGUGUGAGUAGCGAAAGACGGGUGAGAAUCCCGUCCACCGAUUGACUAAGGUUUCCAGAGGAAGGCUCGUCCGCUCUGGGUUAGUCGGGUCCUAAGCUGAGGCCGACAGGCGUAGGCGAUGGAUAACAGGUUGAUAUUCCUGUACCACCUAUAAUCGUUUUAAUCGAUGGGGGGACGCAGUAGGAUAGGCGAAGCGUGCGAUUGGAUUGCACGUCUAAGCAGUAAGGCUGAGUAUUAGGCAAAUCCGGUACUCGUUAAGGCUGAGCUGUGAUGGGGAGAAGACAUUGUGUCUUCGAGUCGUUGAUUUCACACUGCCGAGAAAAGCCUCUAGAUAGAAAAUAGGUGCCCGUACCGCAAACCGACACAGGUAGUCAAGAUGAGAAUUCUAAGGUGAGCGAGCGAACUCUCGUUAAGGAACUCGGCAAAAUGACCCCGUAACUUCGGGAGAAGGGGUGCUCUUUAGGGUUAACGCCCAGAAGAGCCGCAGUGAAUAGGCCCAAGCGACUGUUUAUCAAAAACACAGGUCUCUGCUAAACCGUAAGGUGAUGUAUAGGGGCUGACGCCUGCCCGGUGCUGGAAGGUUAAGAGGAGUGGUUAGCUUCUGCGAAGCUACGAAUCGAAGCCCCAGUAAACGGCGGCCGUAACUAUAACGGUCCUAAGGUAGCGAAAUUCCUUGUCGGGUAAGUUCCGACCCGCACGAAAGGCGUAACGAUUUGGGCACUGUCUCAACGAGAGACUCGGUGAAAUCAUAGUACCUGUGAAGAUGCAGGUUACCCGCGACAGGACGGAAAGACCCCGUGGAGCUUUACUGUAGCCUGAUAUUGAAAUUCGGCACAGCUUGUACAGGAUAGGUAGGAGCCUUUGAAACGUGAGCGCUAGCUUACGUGGAGGCGCUGGUGGGAUACUACCCUAGCUGUGUUGGCUUUCUAACCCGCACCACUUAUCGUGGUGGGAGACAGUGUCAGGCGGGCAGUUUGACUGGGGCGGUCGCCUCCUAAAAGGUAACGGAGGCGCUCAAAGGUUCCCUCAGAAUGGUUGGAAAUCAUUCAUAGAGUGUAAAGGCAUAAGGGAGCUUGACUGCGAGACCUACAAGUCGAGCAGGGUCGAAAGACGGACUUAGUGAUCCGGUGGUUCCGCAUGGAAGGGCCAUCGCUCAACGGAUAAAAGCUACCCCGGGGAUAACAGGCUUAUCUCCCCCAAGAGUUCACAUCGACGGGGAGGUUUGGCACCUCGAUGUCGGCUCAUCGCAUCCUGGGGCUGUAGUCGGUCCCAAGGGUUGGGCUGUUCGCCCAUUAAAGCGGUAC
rnacentral:rRNA from 1 species